GAUGAACGCUGGCGGCGUGCCUAAUACAUGCAAGUCGAGCGAACGGACGAGAAGCUUGCUUCUCUGAUGUUAGCGGCGGACGGGUGAGUAACACGUGGAUAACCUACCUAUAAGACUGGGAUAACUUCGGGAAACCGUAGCUAAUACCGGAUAAUAUUUUGAACCGCAUGGUUCAAAAGUGAAAGACGGUCUUGCUGUCACUUAUAGAUGGAUCCGCGCUGCAUUAGCUAGUUGGUAAGGUAACGGCUUACCAAGGCAACGAUGCAUAGCCGACCUGAGAGGGUGAUCGGCCACACUGGAACUGGGACACGGUCCAGACUCCUACGGGAGGCAGCAGUAGGGAAUUUUCCGCAAUGGGCGAAAGCCUGACGGAGCAACGCCGCGUGAGUGAUGAAGGUCUUCGGAUCGUAAAACUCUGUUAUUAGGGAAGAACAUAUGUGUAAGUAACUGUGCACAUCUUGACGGUACCUAAUCAGAAAGCCACGGCUAACUACGUG
rnacentral:rRNA from 1 species